AGUGAACGCUGGCGGUAGGCCUAACACAUGCAAGUCGAACGGCAGCACAGUAAGAGCUUGCUCUUACGGGUGGCGAGUGGCGGACGGGUGAGGAAUACAUCGGAAUCUACUUUUUCGUGGGGGCUAACGUAGGGAAACUUACGCUAAUACCGCAUACGACCUACGGGUGAAAGCAGGGGACAUUCGGACCUUGCGCGAUUGAAUGAGCCGAUGUCGGAUUAGCUAGUUGGCGGGGUAAAGGCCCACCAAGGCGACGAUCCGUAGCUGGUCUGAGAGGAUGAGCAGCCACACUAGAACUGGAGCACGAUCCAGACUCCUACGGGAGGCGGCAGUAGGGAAUAUUGGACAAGGGGCGCAAGCCUGAUCCAGCCAUACCGCGUGAGUGAAGAAGGCCUUCGGGUUGUAAAGCCCUUUUGUUGGGAAAGAAAAGCAGCAGGUUAAUACCCCGCUGUUCUGACGGUACCCAAAGAAUAAGCACCGGCUAACUUCGUG
rnacentral:rRNA from 1 species